rnacentral:rRNA from 1 species
CGGAGGAUCCAAGCGUUAUCCGGAUUUAUUGGGUUAAAGGGUGCGUAGGCGGCCUGUUAAGUCAGGGGUGAAAGACGGUAGCUCAACUAUCGCAGUGCCCUUGAUACUGAUGGGCUUGAAUGGACUAGAGGUAGGCGGAAUGAGACAAGUAGCGGUGAAAUGCAUAGAUAUGUCUCAGAACACCGAUUGCGAAGGCAGCUUACUAUGGUCUUAUUGACGCUGAGGCACGAAAGCGUGGGGAUCAAACAGGAUUAGAUACCCUGGUAGUCCACGCCCUAAACGAUGAACACUCGCUGUUGGCGAUACACAGUCAGCGGCUAAGCGAAAGCGUUAAGUGUUCCACCUGGGGAGUACGCUCGCAAGAGUG